GUUCUCUUUAAUAUAUGAGUAAUACGAGACUACAACUAUAUAUUAUUUAUAGCUUGACUUUUUUUUAUUGAAAUUGAACACACACAACCCAAGUGGUACAAAUUCAGCUAUUGGCACCGAAUCUCCAUGCUGCAUGCCAUAUGACAGCUCUGGUGGAUACGAUAGCUCCCGUGGAGUGGGCGGAUGUGACGUGUGGGAUCACCGGGUCCAUACACAAGCAACCCAACUUCACGUGGAGCCACAAGUUGCAACCACGGUCCGCGAGAUGACGAUAAAGGCCGUGCGCCGCCGGCUGCCCGAAGAACCGAGAUAGACAACGGGGACCGGUGGCAGCGAAGCGAAAACGCACGACGACGAACGCCAAGUCACCGUCCGAUCCACCUGAUCCGGAUUGGCGCCGGAUCCAAUCAUCCAAAUCGCCCGUAUCGCAACCCGUGUGGCGCGCAUGACGUGGCGUGACAACAGCAAAGGAAAACAACAGACACAAAGAUGCCCCGGCUGGAAAAUGAAAGCGCCACCACCGGCCCACCUCAGAGGUCGGACUCGG
rnacentral:lncRNA from 7 species